GCUCGGUGACGGCCGUUCCCGCCCCGCCACGCCGCCGGUGCGGAAGGGGCAGCGGGGAGGAUGGCGGCGGCGACGGCGCUGGAGCUGGCGCACUGGAGCACGUGGGCGGUGUGCGCGGUCAUCAAGCUGCCGCAGCUGGCGGCCGUGCUGGCGGCGGGCUCGGCGCGGGGGCUCAGCGCGAGCAGCGUCCUGCUGGAGCUGGCGGGCUUCCUUGUGUUUCUGAGGUACCAGAUCUAUUACAGUUACCCUCUGCAGACAUACCUGGAGUAUCCGAUCCUCGUUGCACAAGAUGUCGUUCUCCUUUUGUUUAUCCUGCAUUUCAGUGGAAACAUGAAACAAGCUUUGUUCUAUGCAGUCACAUUUUGUGGGGGAUGGUACAUGCUAACACUGCGGAAGUGGAUAAUAGACCUGGCCAUGAAUUUGUGCACGCUGAUCAGUGCAGCCAGUAAGCUGGCUCAGCUGCGGUGUCUCUGGCAGACAAAAGAUUCCGGAGAAGUGAGCGCCUUGACCUGGAGUAUGUCUGCAUACACCUGUGCAACAAGAAUAGUUACAACUGUAAUGACUACAAAUGAUUUUGCAGUUCUCAUCCGUUUCAUAACCAUGCUCAUUCUCAAUAUUUGGGUCACAGCCACAAUCCUGCACUACAGGAAAACUAAAAAGACUGAUUAGAAGACCCUCCUCAGUACACGCUGUGGUUACCAUCAGCAAACCCUGAUACGAAUCAGCCUAAACAUCAGAACAAAGGCUGAGGAAGCUCCCUUUCUCUUAACCAUAGUAUUUAUCCCUGUGCGUAAUUAGUACAGUCAUGCUCAUUUUCUCUUAGAAAUAAUUCUGAUAAGAUACAGAAUUUAAGCAGUAUAUUUUUAUUGGUAAUUUAAUUUUCACUGAUACCACGUUUUCUCUGGACUUUUUAAAUGAACAAGGUAUUUCGUAUUCAGAUUUCCAUAUUAUCGCAUCACUUCAGUAUUUUCUGUUUACAUAUAAGCAGUUUUCUUCAGUUAUGCAAGACCAAUUUUGCAGCAACAUAUCACCUCAUCUUUCUGCACCUGCUGCGAGUUUGAAAAACAACAACAGAUGUUUUACCUCGGUUAGACACUAACUGUAUUUUAGGAUGAAGAAAAUCCGAGUCAAGGCCCAAUCCAAAAUAAGGUUCUAAAUGUGUUUUACGACAUCACAAAUCCAGUCGGGAUUGUAGUGCUUACAUGCAACAUUUAAAUAGUACAAUUUAUACAGCCGAUACAGGAUACCCGUGGCCUCUUUCCUCAAUAGAGCCAGUUUUUACUAGAUAAGAGCAAAAAUUGAACUAUGAAUUCUUUUUCAACCUGAGAUUUCAUUCACUGAACAUGCUGUUUGGGGAACAGCAGAGACUAGAAUGUGUAUGAAUUAAUGACACUUUGACCAAGAGAGUUAAAAACUAUUAAAGCAAAGUUCCUGAACCGGUACCCAGUGUCCCCAAAGGCAAUCCAUAGUGACAGUGACCUCUUUACAUGUGCAGCUUGAGGCACCAAAACCAUCUCAUCUUCAGUGGGGAUCAGCUUUUGAGGAUGCUGUUCUGUGCUUUGUUAGUUUCUAGCCUGUCCGCGCUAAGUAUGCCGAAGAACAUAAAAAUUUCACUUAAAUUUUUAAUUUGGAGAUUCUAUUCAGCUUUUAGCAGAUACAUAUAAAGGGGAAAAGGAUAUUCUUGGGAACUAUUUACAGGGGAUUUUGCUUUUGGAGGUAAUGCCUUUCCAACAAAAAGUUACAGCAUUUAUUAAUCAUAUACCUUGCCUUCAUUUCUCAUUACAUUCUCCAAAAUGAAAGAAUACGCCAUUUCAACUGCGUUCUUCUAGUAUUACUGUUGAUUGGCACAUUAAAUCCAAGGCACUCUGAUCCCGAUACCCUUGAAAACCAUGGGAAGACUGCAUUGACUGCAUUUGAGGCAGCUUUUCCUUGCAACCCAGAAAAUCACUGGACUCUCGCAGAAGAGCAGGAUCUGCAAAAGCAGACGUUUCCACCAGUGUACGCUCAGCAACCAGGCUGAGACUCCACUGCCAGAAAACGUAGUUGCUUUGUGAACUCUGAUGUUAGAACACGGAGGGGUGGGAAGAGGUGUGGAUGUGGAGAUACUGCUCCAAUAAAAUGUAUAAAUGUUUCUAUGUUAUUUGGGAGAGGAACUGUAAACUUCUCUUCUUCCUGGUUUUACUGAAGCCCUGUACAAUAUCUGAAGUGGUCUGGAUGGUGGCAGGUGGCAUGUAAGACUUUUUCCGGAUCAUAUUAAUAAAUGGUCUUCUUUUUGACUGAUUAAUGUCAUCCUUACAGUUAAUUUUCAUUACAUUUUAUUUUUUCUUCCAUUUCCACAUAUGGAAAGAAAAUGAAAUAUUUGUUACAGGUUAUUAAUGGGCAGCUUUCACCUUAACAUUUGAAGCAUCAGGCUGUUUGGUAACCUGUGAAAUGCUAAAGAGCUCCAUCAUCUUAAGAGAAAAAACACACUUACUUGUCAUCUCAGUGUUUUAAUUAAAAUCUGUCCUAGUACUGAGGGAUGCUGCACCAAAAGGUAGAUGCUCCAUUGUCAGUGUGAGCAUCAGCAUUUCUUUCUUUUCAUAAUGAAAUGCCGAAAAUGGCAUUUAAGAAAAUUCUUAACAGGUUAGUUGACGUACUUUGAAUAUGUCAUCUUAGAAACUUGCUGGGGGGGGGUGGAAAGAGACGAAGGAAAAGGAAGGAAGCUGGAUAAUUCACAGGCUUAAAGUAAAGCAAUUUGGUGGACUUGGAAAGCUGGACCAUGAGCCCUCAUUCAACUGCACAGGGCAUGGAACAAAUCAGGAGGUAGCAGUGAAUAGUUUCAUGCACUUCUUCUCCCCUCCCCUUCCCCCAAGCAUAAUUUAUUUCACAUUUGCAAGGUAGAAGUUGCUCAAGUCCUGGGAAAGACUCAUGAAAGUGUGGACCUUGUGGUUUUCCGGUACGUAAACCAUAAUCUCCUCAGUAGCUGGAUUAGAGGCAACAGCUUUAGACAAAGGUACACAGGGAGGGUAAAUCUUGUUAAACUUGUCAUUCAGCAGUGCUGUGUGGACACAAGUUGUUUGCAGCUAAUGCAGCAGCAGGCAAGGACAGGGAAAGCAUUGUGGAUGUGUUGCAGUGCGUGUAGACUAGGAAGAAACUUCUAUCCACAGGGAUGGAAGCACUACCUCUCAUUCCUGGAUCCUCUAGAAGUGCUGAGUUACAUGCUCAGUGUGUCAUUGCACCAGUUCACACAAAGCUUUUGGGGUAAAAAGAGCCUUUCCUGUCCUGGCUGAUAAAGGUUCUGGUGGGGAUUUCAAGAAGUAGGAGCUUUUUUGCCUGUGAGAAGCCAGGCUCCGAGUUCCUGUACAGCUCACGGAAGCUUCAGUGUCAACCUGAAUGGAUAUGUCGUGUGCCUUCGGUAACACAUAAGCUACAGCUGCACUGAGCCACAAAGCUCAGUUUAACAUCACAGAAGGAAAACAUUCAUGAGAUUUCCUAUCCAAAGAAAAAAACCGAGAUGGUUGCAGAGCUCACAGGCUGCAGGUCUCAAAGUGAGGACACAGCAGUGGAAUAUGCGUGUAGUUCACCUUUCCCAAAGCCUAUUCCUGAACUGCCCUUGGUGAACAGGAACAUCGCACGGAUGCAAACCCAUCAUUUCCCGUGCCCUACGGGCCUCUGGAACCCUCAGCGUUUUGCGCAGAGCAAAACCAGACACAGAUCUGUUCCUCUGCGCUACUCCAAUCCAGCAAAGAUGUUACUGCUUGGGCUGCUCAGAACUGCCCCUCCCUGCCUGACCCCUGUGCCUCUUCCACUGGCUUCUGUUUUGCACACAGCUGCUCCCUCACCCGGUUCUGUUCAUCUCAUCUAUUAAAAAGGGAGAGAAAGGAGUGGGGCGGGGAUGUGGACACCUCAGCCGCUGGAGGGCAGAAGCUGGAUUUUAGAGCAGUUUGCCUCUUUGAAAAACGUCAUUCACAAUUAGCUAAAAGGUUCCAAAUGACUCACAACUUCAAAAAAGCCUUCAUUCAGUCCUACUAUUUCCCCACCAAGAAAUCAUCAUCCAUUUAAGGAUAUAUGUAACUAGGGAGGAAAAAAAGGGGAGGAAAAAAAGGAAACGACACCCCAGAGCCCACAGGAAGAACUAUUAGAAAUGAAAAGCUACACAGAUGAGAUCAACUCAAACGAGGUAGUUUCUCAGCUGUGUUGGUCUAUGACAGUGCUAAUUCUUUAAGGCUGGUUUGUUCCAUUCCUUUACAGAUUCUUUGAUACUUGAGACACAUAUUUAUGUAUGAAGCAGAACAUUAAAUACUGCCCUCACCAUUAAUAAUGGUCUAAUGAUGCCCCAGUUUAGAAUGUCAGGAAGCUGAAAAAAGCUUUAAAAUAGGAUGUUAUUAAAGUCUUGAUUCAUACUAGAUUCAGUUUCCUUGCUUUUGAGCUAGAGCGCUCCAAGAUACUUAAAGAGUUCUUGGAGCUGAUGGAUCUCGAUGUCAAAUCGGUGUUUGGGAGCCACAAUAACACCACCCUAAGAUCCUGCCAGCUCAUCACUUGUGCUGGACCUAGUUAGUUGCAAGACCCUGACAGUCUGACAGACCCGAGCCCUGAUGGGCCCCCGGGGGCUCCUGCCUGGUGGCAAGACAGACACAGAGACAUCCACGAGUUAAAGACAUUAGCUACGCCAUUCCACCUUGGAAGUGGUUUGGGGCAAGUACCGUCUCCGUCCUGGAAAAAAUCCAAUCUUUGGACUAGGGGUAAAACAGGAGAUUUUUUUAUACUGCAUGACACUCCCGAUGAAAUUUAAUUGUGGAAACCUUAAGGACAAGUUAAAGAUUUGUCAUAGUUUUGUUCAUGCCCUGUUCUGUUUUGUUAUCUCAGCUCAUUGUAACUGUCUUAAAUCGUCAGUAGUGUAACAGGGAGCUCUGUGCAUGAUGUGGUAUCACUGACUCACCGGAAGGGAGCUUUAAGAGGGCAGACACCUUGUUUUAUCUAUCAAGAUUCAGGAAACUAAUUUAAAGGACAAAACCUGCACCAGCCUAAAAUGCGAGAAGCCAUCUAGUAAUGAUUACAAUUGAAACGGAAUAACAUGGCUGCAUGAUGAAGAUAAGCUCUACUUACCAUCUUAUUGUAAUUACAAGUCCUCUGUGUGCAACAGGCCUGCUCUGGGAUGUCCACGGUUCCUGCUUUUGAAUUUGGAGGCUUUGGCCAGCAUCACCAAGAUAGCUGACCUGUCUCCUAUGAUAUGAAAUGCAGAUGGUGCCUCCACGUCCCCUCUCUCACGUCAAUCCAGUAGUCAGGACUCUAAUGAAGCACAAGUUGAGUUUGUAUAAAGUGUAUUUACAGUUCAUGGUAUCAUGGAAUGGUUUGGGUGGGAAGGGACCUUAAAGAUCAUCUAGUGCCAAAUCUCCUGCCAUGGGCAGGGACACUUCCCACUGGAUCAGGCUGCUCUAGGCCCCAUCCAACCUGAUCCCGAAGAACUCCAGGGACGGGGCAGCCACAGCUUCCCUGGGCAACCUGGGCCAGGGCCUCACCACCAUCAUCGUGAAGAAUUUCUUCCUAAUGUCCAAUCUAAAUCUUCUCCCCUCCAAUUCAAAGCCAUUCCCCGGAUACCAUAAAGUCUUUUACCUUGGAGUGAUUGACUACACACAGAUUCCACUGAGCUGACUUCCAGGACAGGGACUUCUCUUGAGAGACUUUAAAUUGUUUUCCCUGGAAUGCACCAUAAGCACGACUUUGACUCCUCACGGUCUCUCUGAGCUCAAGGUGUUUCAAGCUUGCACCCAGGCCCAUCUCCUCUCGUAACAGAACUCCCAGUGCUGAACACGGAGCACGCAGGAGCUUCCUUACUGUUUCUCGAGCCCUUCCACCGCUCCAGAAGAGACAAGUGGCUGCAUUGUUCCUACGAAAUCGCAGCUGCCCCCAGUACCGCGUGUGCCGCACAGCAUCACGCAGACGCGCGACACCCUGGGAUGCAGCAAGCAGCCGUGAGUCCCAGCACUGCACCUCACCGCAAGAUCAGCUUAAAGGGCCUGCUCGGAAGAUGGAAAACAGCUGAGGCAAGAGAGGACGCUGGAUCCAGUGAAGGUGGAAAAGGGUUCACACAGUGGGGAUUCCUGUCUCCUUCAGCCUUAAAGCAGUUAUUUAUUAUCCCACAUACCUCCAAAACACAUUGCCACCAAUUCACUCAUCACAAAGUAACUGAUAUCCAAGAUGAUAAUGGCUAACAGGGCCAUUCAGGGCUUAAAGUCUAAGCAGCUGCAGGAGGAUGGAGAAUGGGAUUGCAGUGAUCCCACAAGCUCGGCGCCCUUGGGUGGCCGCGUGGCCAUGCUCACCAAGCAGUGCAACAGCACCACGGCAAAACAAAGUCCCAAAGAGCUACCAAGGGUGAUGCCAAGUCACAAGAACUGGAUGACCUACAGAGGCAACAGGAUAUGACAAUAGAAGACCACACAUAGAACGGGGCUCCCACCACUGAAGAAACUCUUAAGGCCUCGGCCUCAAAGCAGGGCGAUGCGACUGAGGAUCACAUGCAAUUGCCUUGACUGUGAACGUUUCCUUCAUUGCUCCUCCAAGCAACCUAGAAAGGGCUGCAGCGACACGCUUGCCGCACUCUCUGCCCUUUCUUUUCAGGAUGAAGAUGCAUCUUUCCGGAUGUCUUUAAGGUAUGCAGGACUACACACACUUAGAACUUUGUCAUUUUGCAAAAUCACUUUAAUCCUGGAGCUUCUGCAGCCUUGAUGGCGCAGAAGUACCAGGGGUCAAAUCCGCCUUCACACUCGCAACAGCAAACAUCAGGUGGUAACUUGACCUUCCUACCCUUACAAAACAAAGCUUUCUGGCCAAAAAGGGGCAAAGAUUCAAAAUGCUCAUCGUCAUAACAAGGCUUGCUGGUUGGCAUCCCUGUGCUAAUAAAUCCCACUUCUUGGAGGUGUAGGGAUGAGCUUUUCCAUUCACUGCGGUGCUUUCUGGGCAGAACUACAGCGGAUGUGUUUAGUCUUGGCGUCCUUUUCUUCUACAUACAUCUCAGCAGACUUGUCUCAUUUCUCAAUGAGCAAAGUCUGAGUACAUCAAUGUCCACUUUAAGGCAACUUCAACAAACGCCCCCCCCCCCCCAUGAAUUAGUUUCAGAACCGCUCCAUCGACAUCUUUUACACACACCCAAAAGAAAACUCCUUCCCACUCUCAGGAGGGGUGCUUCAAAGCAGCAGGCAAACCCCCAUGAUCCAUGGGAUGCUGACAAUCCCCCAAGUGGUUUAUAGGACAGUCUUAAAAGAAUAACAAGUAAUGUUUUCAAUUUGAAGUGUAGUACAUGGUUGAUAAAAUAUUCUGAACACCCAUUUUAAUGCACUGAGAAGGCACCAAACCUGUCAGAGGUGAAGCUGCAUCUGGACAAUGCUCUUAAUUGUAUGGAUUAGUUAUCCAUAGUCCCGUGAGGAGCAGGAAACUGGAUUCGAUGAUCCUUAAGGAUCCUUGGAAGGGUCCCUUCCAACUCGAGAUGUUCUAUUAGACUAUGGAAAAACAAAUGAAUCACUAUUUUAACAUGAAUGCUGAGGAAAACUAACUGGGAAUGUGAAGAAAGACUCCGAUUCCCUGGACUGGACCAUGGACUGUUACGUUCUCCUGCCUCAGAGAGAGAACAAGGAAGGGGUAAGGGUUUGUAAGAGUGAUGCAGGUUUUCAUACAAGUGCCCUCUUUUCACAGCAGCAUCCAAACACGGCCUUGCAAACACCAGGUGGGUGAAGGGACUUCAAACGAAGCUACAGAAAUCCUUUUGUAAGGGCAACUCUCAAAACCAGACGGGAACUCUAAUACAGUAAGGUUAUAAACUGAAAUGCUCAAGUUUAUAAUCAUGAUCUGACACUGCCUGAAAAACUACACAGAAAAAGUGUGUAAUUUCUAGGGGCAGCUUUCCUGGCCUUGGUGACUUCAGAAAGCCACCGAAUGCCCGUCAAAGCAUAGGAUGUUCCGUGUCUUCAACGGUGGCACUAAGAGAUUUAAACACUUGCAGUGAAACUUCAGUCAUGUUUUCAAUUUGGCCACGGUCACCAACUGCCAAGACACAUGGGCCUCUUGCAUGUCCCGCUGUGGUUACAGCACCAACCGUGCCAAGGAACAUAAGAACCACAAUGCUUCCCUCAGCACGCAGAUGUGGUGCUGGAUCGCCAGCAGCGCUGGAAGGCGUUUGAGCUUUGGCAGGAGCCGCCAGAAGCAGAAAAGUGCAGCGCACAACUGGGACAGAAGUGGAAACCUCCUUACGGAAACAUCUUUGUGACAACUGGCAUUUAAACUCCAAUGGGGUCUUACUGUCCAGCUUCCCUGCACACCACAGCUCUUUGAUGGGAACCAAAAAGCAGCUUCCCUAUAAGUGUCUUGAGCUUCUGGCGCCAAGUUUGACCCCCGGUUUUUCCAAAAGGUUCAUUUGCACCUUGGCUAGGCUAUUUAUUUAUUCUUGUGGAACAAAAGGACUUGCAAUGAGAGAAUUUCUAUAAAUAAGGUCAUCCAGGCCCUAAGAUGUCCUGUUCACUGGGACUGUUACAAAAAAGAAAGCAUUUAAACAUCACUGACUUUAAGACAAAUGUUCCUUAGUCCAGGAAUAUGCUUUACUCUCAAAAAAUUUAAAAGGUUACCACUGGACGUAAGGAAACACCACCGUCUCCAGGAACGAACACUUGAAGAGUUCUUUGCAUUCCACAGACCAGCAGAUGGAAGCUCUGCCUCGAGCAGAAGGACAAAUGGGAAGAACAGACGAGCAGCUUCGCUUUUUGUGUCCUGGGAACAAAACAAGGUUCACGCACAUCACACCACUGGCCGAAUGAUCCCCCAUUACAGCUCAACGCAGCCCACACUGCUCUUUUGGUUUGGGACAAACUGCAUGCAGGACAACCGAGUAGUCCUAGGUCGCUUCCAUCCCUACAGGCAGUGAAAACUCCAAAGCCUUAAGGAAACUACACCAAGUUCACCCUGCAGGCACAAGGGUCAGCCCAGAGGCCUCCCCCGCUCCCUAUCAGCCCGUAUCCUUUUC